GCUCAACCGGGGAGGGUCAUUGGAAACUGGGGAACUUGAGUGCAGAAGAGGAGAGUGGAAUUCCACGUGUAGCGGUGAAAUGCGUAGAGAUGUGGAGGAACACCAGUGGCGAAGGCGACUCUCUGGUCUGUAACUGACGCUGAGGCGCGAAAGCGUGGGGAGCGAACAGGAUUAGAUACCCUGGUAGUCCACGCCGUAAACGAUGAGUGCUAAGUGUUAGAGGGUUUCCGCCCUUUAGUGCUGCAGCAAACUCAUUAAGCACUCCGCCUGGGGAGUACGGUCGCAAGACUGAAGCUCAAAGGAAUUGACGGGGGCCCGCACAAGCGGUGGAGCAUGUGGUUUAAUUCGAAGCAACGCGAAGAACCUUACCAGGUCUUGACAUCCUCUGACAACCCUAGAGAUAGGGCUUCCCCUUCGGGGGGCAGAGUGACAGGUGGUGCAUGGUUGUCGUCAGCUCGUGUCGUGAGAUGUUGGGUUAAGUCCCGCAACGAGCGCAACCCUUGAUCUUAGUUGCCAGCAUUCAGUUGGGCACUCUAAGGUGACUGCCGGUGACAAACCGGAGGAAGGUGGGGAUGACGUCAAAUCAUCAUGCCCCUUAUGACCUGGGCUACACACGUGCUACAAUGGGGCAGAACAAAG
rnacentral:rRNA from 1 species